CAUGGGCUUGCUGUUGCAGAACCAACCAUGAUAUCCAUGCGCUCCACAGGCUUGCACCCCUGCAAAAAUUGAAUGAUGAUGAUUAGGCACAAAUAAAUGAAUCAACAGGUCAUGAAGGGAUGACUCUUGAAUUUAACCAAUAUAUUUAAGGCCACAACAUAAAGUGAUGCAGUACAGAAUGAAAGUAGGAAAAUGCUAUUCGGCUAAGAAGUCAUGAUUUUGUUGGCCUUGUAUACAUAAGCUGAGCGCAUAACAAUGUCUCACAAGAAUGUAAAAGACAUCUUCAUUACAGAACCUUCUCUUCAUGCUUUUCAUCUCAAAUAUGGAUCCCGACAAGUAGUGUUUCAUAAUCUUACAGAAUAUCAAAAAUCAUGUUUCUCAAAUUUCUAACUCCAGCUAUGUUUGUCAGCACUUUUUAAUAUGCAAAAAUGGUGACUAAUCAAUUGAUUUUUUGCAGGAAUAUAACUAAAUUUUAUUUGUAUCAUUUUGGUUUUUCCCUGACUGGACGAAAAUCACUCUACUAAUCUAAAUUGAUAUAAAACAUCAAAAGAUCAUCACUCUUGAACUCUAAUUCCACUAAUAUCAACCAUAUCCUCAGCUUUUGCAGAAUUUUUCUCAGAUAAAACAAUGUGAGGUUAGUACCAUAUUUCAACACAUAGCUUUAAGUCCCACAUUUGGAUGCAUGGUUAUUAGACCUGAGCUAUUAAAAAUCCCCAGGGGAGAACCUCAAGAAUAUCAUUGUGUACAUAAAAUGACUGACUCAGCAACAAUUCCAAGUUUAUACUAUGGUUAAAUGCCUCAUUCUUCCCCUGUAUAUCAGGUAUUAUUGACAAAUGCUGGCUCCACCAACAUAGAUAAGCGAUAACUCUAUAAACAAGAAUCUUCAACUAUCAAACACAACUGUUUUCAGCAUUUCAUGUAACGAUCUCAUAAAAGCAAUGUAUGAGCUCUAACACAAAAAGUUGAAAACAGAAGAAGCCAUGGAGAGACAAAGCUAAUACACAACACAGAUUUGGAAAGUUAAUGAAGUUUGCACCAGCCCAAGGAAAAAAGCAAGCAAAUUCAUGUGUGUGAGUAAUGAUUAAAACCAAAAAUGGAUGCACAAGAUGCAGUAUCUUCUCCAGUAUUUUUGUCAAGCAGUUUAUCAAAUCAAUUUCCUCAAAAUUAUAAUUAGUAGACACAGUUCUUGUGAUUAGUUAUAAUUUCGUCCCCUUUUAAUAUGAUCACCAUAACUCUCCAUGAAUUGCACAAGAAAAACACACAACUAAAUCCCACUGCGCUUUCCCAUUGCUUCAAAACAAAUCAGAGCAGGAAGACAACUUUAGCCUUGUAAUUUGGGAAGGAAACCACGAUCCCCAGUUGAAUUCACUGAAAAAGAAUAUUCCAUAGCACAACACAAAUUGAUACAUACAUCAUGCACCAAUGCUUUAGAGACCAAGUUUACUUAAGAAAUAACAUCAUCAUUAUACUAUUUGUUCUAAGUUUAUCAUAAGAGAAAAGGAUACUAGUGUUAGACCCUGAAGAAAACUAUUUAAUUUGUAUAAUCCUAGUAACCAACAGUAACCAUUUAUGGUUUAUCAUAAGUUUAUCGUUAGGACGGCUGAUACGAAAAACAUCAGCUUGAUUAGAGACAAUGAAAAUUAUUUUAAAAAUAUUUUAAUUAUAAUAACUCCAAAACAACUAAAUACCAAGUUUUUUCAAACAAUAUAAAAGGGCACUUUUUGAAAAAGCAGUUUUACUAACUAAGAAGUAAUGCACAACAAAUGGCCCCCCAAAAUAAUAAAAUUUCCAAGGAACUGCAUCAUCAAUUUAUCAUUACUCAAUUACAUGACCACAAAACAAACAAAAAAUAUGCCUCCCAAAUAUGAAAGUGAACAGUAACCGAACCAAAAAGAAAAAGUCUCUUACUUUUGCAACGAAUAAAGCAAAAACACCAAAAUAUAUCAAAUAGAGAGAGAGUGCAAUGUGAAAGAGUACUUCACUUCUCUGUCAAAAGCACCCUUGGACAUCAUCAAUUCAUCAUCCCCAUGUUACCAACCAAUGGCACUGUUAAGGAUUUCUUAGUCUUUUGCUCGAGAUCUGAAACGAAGAUGGUCCAUGUUCCAUUUCAGAUCAACUAGAGUUAAAAGAAGC
rnacentral:misc_RNA from 1 species